GUGUAGAAUAGACUGGGGAGUUAGGCGUUCCCUGUUACCAGAAAUCGCCGAUAAGCUGGAGUCGAAUUCAAUAGGCGGUGUAACGAUCAUCUAUUGAUCCAUUUGUUGACGAUGAAACCUUGUCCUUUGGGAUCAGAGGUGAUGACUGCAUACGAUCGGAGGGUCAUAUGUACAUCUUUGCUGUGGAAAUCGGGUGAGGCACGGAAGUGAGCAGCCUUACCACAAACUGCUGAUGCUCAAAGGGUUAACGGGGUUGAGGAUGCAAACGGGUAGUCAUUAGUAUGAAACGUGCACCCACUUGCGGAGUUUCUACAC
rnacentral:SRP_RNA from 1 species